rnacentral:miRNA from 10 species
UUCGCCUGGCUGUUAGGUUGGUGCAAAAGUAAUUGUGGAUUUUACCUUUAAAACUAAUUGCAAAACCUGCAAUUACUUUUGCACCAACCUAGUUGUAUUCAGCCUAGUUCUCCAUCACUCUUUCCUCUGAGAAACUUCA